rnacentral:misc_RNA from 1 species
UUGCUUUAUUUAUUUAAUGAUUCAGAAUGACACGUUUAUAACGAGUUUGAGAAUUCUUCUGACGGGCAAGCCCGCCAAAGAAACAAGGGUUUGUUAAACAUUGGGUUGCAGGUUAAGCCUUGAAGGCGCUCCCGAUAAUGAUCCUUCCGCAGGUUCACCUACGGAAA